rnacentral:rRNA from 1 species
AUUGAACGCUGGCGGCAGGCCUAACACAUGCAAGUCGAACGAGUGGCGGACGGGUGACUAAUGCUUGGGAAUCUGGCUUAUGGAGGGGGAUAAGGAAGGGAACCUGUCGCUAAUACCGUGUACAAUAGGCUGAGCCCAAGUGGGAUUAGGUAGGUGGGGGGGUAAUGGACUACCAAGCCGACGCUCUCUAGCUGGUCUGAGAGGAUGACCAGCCACACCGGAACUGAGACACGGCCCGGACUCCUACGGGAGGCAGCAGUGGGGAAUAUUGCGCAAUGGGGGCAACCUGACGCAGCCAUGCCGCGUGAAUGAAGAAGGCCUUCGGGUUGUAAAGCUCUUUCAGUUGCGAGGCGUUAAUCACAGAAGAAGCACCGGCUAACUCCGUGCCAGCAGCCGCGGUAAUUC